CGACCGCUGGCGGCGUGCUUAACACAUGCACGUCGAACGGAAAGGCCCUUCGGGGUCCUCGAGUGGCGAACGGGUGAGUAACACGUGGGUGAUCUGCCCUGCACUUUGGGAUAAGCCUGGGAAACUGGGUCUAAUACCGAAUAGGACCACGCGCUUCAUGGUGUGUGGUGGAAAGCUUUUGCGGUGUGGGAUGGGCCCGCGGCCUAUCAGCUUGUUGGUGGGGUAAUGGCCUACCAAGGCGACGACGGGUAGCCGGCCUGAGAGGGUGACCGGCCACACUGGGACUGAGAUACGGCCCAGACUCCUACGGGAGGCAGCAGUGGGGAAUAUUGCACAAUGGGCGCAAGCCUGAUGCAGCGACGCCGCGUGAGGGAUGACGGCCUUCGGGUUGUAAACCUCUUUCAAUAGGGACGAAGCGCAAGUGACGGUACCUAUAGAAGAAGCACCGGCCAACUACGUG
rnacentral:rRNA from 1 species